UGCAAAAGUAGACACGGCGUGAUAUUGGUACGGCUCAUCUUAAUUCAACCAUUAUAUCAACAAUUGAGACGAGCCGAAUCAAUAUCACUCUUGUUUGCUUCAUU
rfam:Glycine soja cultivar W05 scaffold3659_15, whole genome shotgun sequence.